CGCGCAGGUGGUUUCUUAAGUCUGAUGUGAAAGCCCACGGCUCAACCGUGGAGGGUCAUUGGAAACUGGGAGACUUGAGUGCAGAAGAGGAUAGUGGAAUUCCAAGUGUAGCGGUGAAAUGCGUAGAGAUUUGGAGGAACACCAGUGGCGAAGGCGGCCGUCUGGUCUGUAACUGACGCUGAGGCUCGAAAGCAUGGGUAGCGAACA
rnacentral:rRNA from 1 species